UACGUAGGGGGCAAGCGUUGUCCGGAGUUACUGGGCGUAAAGCGCGCGCAGGCGGCUCGUCAAGCCUGACGUGAAAGCCCCCGGCUCAACCGGGGAGGGUCGUCGGGGACUGGCGGGCUUGAGGUCGGCAGGGGUUGGUGGAAUUCCCGGUGUAGUGGUGAAAUGCGUAGAUAUCGAGAGGAACACCUGCGGCGAAGGCGGGUUGCUGGGCUGACACUGACGCUGAUGCGCGAAAGCCAGGGGAGCGAACGGG
rnacentral:rRNA from 1 species